GUUAAACCAGUAAGUUAAGUUAUAUAUCUUGGUAAAAAGACAGUUAGACAAAAAUUAGUUUAUUAAUUUUUUAUAUAAAAGUAAAAUUUAAUAUAGAUGUAAUAAUAUAAUAAUAGCUUUAUUGUUGAAUCUGUGACAUCUUUGAGGGAAACUGGGAUUGGAUACCCCAUUAUUCCUAGACGUAAAUAAAAAAAUUUACCAGAGUACUACAAAUAAAAUAAUUUAAAACUCAAAGAGCUUGGCGGUAUUUUAGACCACUUAGGGGAACCUGUCUCGUAAUCGACAAUCCACGUUAAACCUUACCUUUUUUAGUAAUCAACUUGUAUACCGUUGUCAUCAGGUAACUUUUAAAGAAAAAAGAAGUUAGCUAAGAAAUCUAUUUAAAUUAGGAUGUCAAAUCAAGGUGCAGUCUAUAAAAAGGAGAAGAUGGGUUACAAUUAUAAAUUAUAAUACGAAUAUGCAUAUUGUAAGCAGCUUGAAGGAGGACUUAAAAGUAAAUUUUUAUAUAAAAAUAAUUUGAACAAGGCUCUAAAAUGUGCACACAU
rnacentral:rRNA from 1 species